UACAGAGGGUGCAAGCGCUAAUCGGAAUUACUGGGCGUAAAGCGUGCGUAGACGGUUAUUUAAGUCAGGUGUGAAAGCCCCGGGCUCAACCUGGGAAUUGCAUUUGAGACUGAAUAGCUAGGGUGCGGAAGAGGGAAGCGGAAUUUCCGGUGUAGCGGUGAAAUGCGUAGAUAUCGGAAGGAACACCAGUGGCGAAAGCGGCUUCCUGGUCCAGCACCGACGUUCAGGCACGAAAGCGUGGGGAGCAAACAGG
rnacentral:rRNA from 1 species